CGGGAAGAGCUCAAAUUUGAAAUCUGGCAGUCUUCGAUUGUCCGAGUUGUAAUCUAUAGAGGCGUUUUCCGUGCCGGACCGUGUCCAAGUCUCCUGGAAAGGAGUAUCAAAGAGGGUGAUAAUCCCGUACUUAACACGACCACCGGUGCUCUGUGAUACGUCUUCUAC
rnacentral:rRNA from 1 species